rnacentral:misc_RNA from 1 species
AAGUCGUAACAAGGUAACCGUAGGUGAACCUGCGGUUGGAUCAUUACCAAAUCCAAACCUGGUGCUUUGGGACGAGCCUGUGCCCCCCCCUCGCCCUUGUGGUGUUGGGGGGGGGAUCAGGGGACCUCCCACUGUGCCUUCCACCCCAUGUGCAAUGUUUCAACUGGGGGCGCACACGCACUCUUGUGUGUGUGCGCCUCCUUUCACAACCAUGUGUUCUCCAAUCACCUGACGUUUACACUCGUGGUGGCUGGGCGGUCGUGUGUCCUCUUUCCAGAGCCGCCGGCCCCCCCUCAUCAUUAGAGCCUAACGAAAAAACAACUUUUGACAACGGAUCUCUUGGCUCUC